AGGGAGGAAAAUAUAAAAACUUGGCACAAGAGGACCGACGACUGAAGAUACUGAAAGGACUGGUGGAGAAAUAUAUUGAAGAUCGCUACAUAUGGAGUGGCAAAAAAUGAAGGCAUGAGAGGAAAGGAUCGAGAUCCAGAUCUUGUUAAGGUUAAAACGAAGCUCAAAGCACUGAGUAAAAUUAUGAAACGACUGGCCACAGAAGGAUCCUUUGGGAUAACUAUAAGCUUCGCCAAAAAUUAGAAAGUAUACGAGACGGAAUCAGUGUAGCAGUGACCUCCAAGUAACCUGAGUAGGUCACCUUAGGACUAUUCACAAGUGGAAACUUUGUUUUUAUCAAAUGAGUUGAUGAGUGUAGAAUUAAGACCGCAAAGAGUUUCUGAUCACGAGGGCCGACGUUUCUAGCGCUAGCCCUUCGCAGUCAGAGCGAACGAAGGGCCAACGCUCGAAUCGUCGGAUCUUUGCGGUCGUAACUCGAUUCGUGUACUGUCUACUGUGUCUGCUAAUCACCCUUCCUUGCACCCGAAGGCUGAAUUGCGAAGGAUGCAGCUCAACGGGAUCGGCCGAAUACAUAUGAGAGGCGCCUAUGGCUGCCGCGAAACGGCCAUGAAAGAUCUCGGAGCACAGCAGCCAAGCCAGAUGUUUUUGACUUGGGUAAAGGCCAGACCACAACACCGGGAACUUCGUGCCCUAUCGACUGAUGUGCCCUAUCAACUCAUGUGAUAAAAACAACUUUUCAUUUCAUGUUCAAUCUCCUUUGUUCACAACUUGCUCUUAAAAACUCGGGAAGUUGCUAAAAAAAUCUAAAUUGCUCCAAAGUCUGAGUAAGUUUCGUUCAGUUAUAGACGGAAACUCUUUUUAAUUAUCAUACGAAGUUGCUGAUCAAAUGGAAGCCAAAAGCAGACUAAGGUACAGAACCAUUCAGUUUCGAAAUUUUUUUAUACCUGUGUUUAGCGAAAUACAGCUUUUCUUACUUUAGAUACAAUUUGCCUAAACAGUCAGUCUUAUGA